UACGUAGGGGGCAAGCGUUGUCCGGAAUUAUUGGGCGUAAAGAGCGUGUAGGCGGUCCGGUAAGUCGGCUGUGAAAGUCCAGGGCUCAACCCUGGGAUGCCGGUCGAUACUGCCGGACUAGAGUUCGGAAGAGGCGAGUGGAAUUCCCGGUGUAGCGGUGAAAUGCGCAGAUAUCGGGAGGAACACCUACGGCGAAGGCAGCUCGCUGGGACGUUACUGACGCUGAGACGCGAAAGCGUGGGGAGCAAACAGG
rnacentral:rRNA from 1 species